rnacentral:misc_RNA from 1 species
ACUAUUUUCCCUGCAUGGUUGACAGUGUGUGUUAAUACUAUUUUGUAAAUUCUUAGAAAUAUACAUGUUUUCAUAGAAUCAUAUUUCAUGAAGAAAUAUUUUGCGUAUAUUUUUAAACGUUAAUAUUAUUUCUUUCCAAAAUCUCGACUAAGAUUUUCUUUUUAUUCCAUUGACUUUAUUAAAAAGUAAACUUCUAUGUGUUGACCUAUCAGCUCACCUUUAGUACAACAUGUUGCGGGUACCUUUGUUUGCGGUUCUUGUGAUCCUUGGUUUGUAUGGAUUGCCAAAGGAAAGUCACGCCGAUGAAGAGGGCGACUAUUACUAUGGAGAUGACUUUUACUACCAAGAGUACCCGGAGCCGGAGGAACCGACGCUAAUUUCCAGUCAGAAACUCUCGGAAAUCGAGAACAUAACCCAACAGAUAGUUAUUAGAUUAAUAAAAAGAGAAAAUAGGAUAAUGAGCAAAAACAUGGAUGAUGCCAGUGAAAAAUGCGUUAAACUUGGGGCAAUCUUUGAGGAAAAGUGCGAUAAAUGUCAGGCGUAAGUCAAUUGGGAUACCUUUUGAUUUCUCUCUCUAGGUCCUUAGUAAAACGACCUAUUCGUUUUCUCCCAUGAAAUAACAAUUUGGAUGAAGGUUUUUUUGAAUUAAAAUUAAAGAAAAGAUUUUAAUGAAUAGAUAAUAUAACAAUAAAAAUGUUUUAAAGGGAAAACGAAAAAGAUAGAAAAAUAGGAAACAUGAAAAAAAUAUGAAAAAGGGUUUUUUAAAGAUUAGAUCGUAUAGCGUAAGCACCUGCUUGAUAACUAUGUUUACUUUUAUGUUCAUUGAAAGUAUUUUAAAAUAUUUUUAAUAUUUAUUAAUAUCGUACUUUGAAGGAAACCGAAUUUGAUCGCCGUCGUAUUAAAUAAAGCCAAGGAACUACUGAAGCUUCAUCCCCUAUACUGGAAAAUACAAAUUGGAAAGAAAAUACUGAAAGGUUUGAAGCGUAUACGUGUUCGUAGAAUUGUGAAGAAUAUUGGCAAGGAUAUCAAAGGACUCGGGAAAAAAAUUGGAAAAGUUUGGCGCAAUGUUGGCAGCAAGGUACGUCGAACUGUAAGAAGAAUUACAAGGAGGCUCAGGCGAGUGGUGAGAGUAAGGGUCCGCUUACCGAGGGUUCGUGUCCGAUUGCCUCGUGUCAGACUCCCAAGAGUGAGAGUGAGGCUGCCACGUGUAAGGGUCAGGUUCGGAAGAAGGAGAUGGGGAAAGAAGAAGAGAUCCUCCUGCAGUGAUUGUGAGAGAAUGUCAAAAAUGAGUGAAGAUGAUCAACUUAAUUCAUUGUGUCCUUUCUUGUUAAGUGUGAACAAGAAGAGCCUACAGACGGACGGAUUCCUAAAUGCAAUUGUGUCCGAAGUAGAGAGCGGUUUUCCAAAGCUUGAAAAGAUCUUGCACCACCAUUACUUAAGCUCUGACGAAGCUGACGUCACCAUUUCUGGAAAGGAAGGAAAGCAUUCCUACAAACUGAAGAACUUCAGCAAGCUCAGCAGCGAACAGAUCGGACGGGCGGUCGGUCGUUACAUCUUUAACAAAGCGAAACCGAAACAAUGAUCUAGCAAAUGUCAAAUGUGCUAUUGAUGAGAAUAAAGCAACAUAAAAC